rnacentral:rRNA from 1 species
CGUGGGCAACCUGCCUCAUAGAGGGGAAUAGCCUUCCGAAAGGGAGAUUAAUACCGCAUAAGAUUGUAGCUUCGCAUGAAGUAGCAAUUAAAGGAGCAAUCCGCUAUGAGAUGGGCCCGCGGCGCAUUAGCUAGUUGGUGAGGUAACGGCUCACCAAGGCGACGAUGCGUAGCCGACCUGAGAGGGUGAUCGGCCACAUUGGGACUGAGACACGGCCCAGACUCCUACGGGAGGCAGCAG